AACGCGAAGAACCUUACCUACCCUUGACAUCCUGCGAAUUUCUCAGAGAUGAGGAAGUGCCGAAAGGAGCGCAGAGACAGGUGCUGCAUGGCUGUCGUCAGCUCGUGUCGUGAGAUGUUGGGUUAAGUCCCGUAACGAGCGCAACCCUUGUCCUGUGUUGCCAUACCGAAAGGUGGAACUCGCAGGAGACCGCCAGGGAUAACCUGGAGGAAGGUGGGGAUGACGUCAAGUCCUCAUGGCCUUUAUGUCCAGGGCUACACACGUGCUACAAUGGACGGUACAAAGGGUCGCCAACCCGCGAGGGGGAGCCAAUCCCAAAAAACCGUUCUCAGUUCGGAUUGCAGGCUGCAACUCGCCUGCAUGAAGCUGGAAUCGCUAGUAAUGGCGGAUCAGAACGCCGCCGUGAAUACGUUCCCGGGCCUUGUACACACCGGAGUAC
rnacentral:rRNA from 1 species